GACGAACGCUGGCGGCGUGCUUAACACAUGCAAGUCGAACGGAAAGGCCCUGCUUUUGUGGGGUGCUCGAGUGGCGAACGGGUGAGUAACACGUGAGUAACCUGCCCUUGACUUUGGGAUAACUUCAGGAAACUGGGGCUAAUACCGGAUAGGAGCUCCUGCUGCAUGGUGGGGGUUGGAAAGUUUCGGCGGUUGGGGAUGGACUCGCGACUUAUCAGCUUGUUGGUGGGGUAGUGGCUUACCAAGGCUUUGACGGGUAGCCGGCCUGAGAGGGUGACCGGCCACAUUGGGACUGAGAUACGGCCCAGACUCCUACGGGAGGCAGCAGUGGGGAAUAUUGCACAAUGGGCGGAAGCCUGAUGCAGCAACGCCGCGUGCGGGAUGACGGCCUUCGGGUUAUAAACCGCUUUCGCCUGUGACGAAGCGUGAGUGACGGUAAUGGGUAAAGAAGCACCGGCUAACUACGUG
rnacentral:rRNA from 1 species